rnacentral:lncRNA from 1 species
UGACAGUAACUACAGUAAAAUGUGACAAGCACAACAAGAGAACUCAAACAUCUGUGGGAUUAAAGAAGAACAGUUAAUAUCCCCUGGGGGCAUCAGGCACAUCACGGGCCAAAGCCUUACCUGCACCCAGGAAUCCACUAAGCUUUCCCGUGCCCUCUUUCUGUUUUUAAAAAAGUAGCCGGUGGAGUUCCCUGAUGGUGCAGCAGGCUAAGGAUCCAGCAUGGUCACUGCUGUGAUAUGGGUUCCAUCCCUGGCUUGGAAACUUAUGCAUGUUGUAGGCACAGCCAGAAAAAAAAAAAUUUAAGAGCUGGUAUUUUAUGUCACUUAGCCUUGAAGCCUUUCAAACUAAUUGGAAUUCAGCAGUGGUUAUCCUAUUUCUCAAGGACCAAAAAAAAAAAAAAAAAAAAAAAAAAAAAAAAAAAAAAAAAAGUCAACUAAAACACAGGGCUAAACACUUUGAUACUUGACCUAAGUGUAGCAGGCCCUUAGCAAGGAAACAAACAAAAAGCAGUCAGAGAAUACAGUAAGGCAGGCACUGGAGGACGCGGAUGCCAUGCCUCCAGACGAAGUCAUCAAUGAAUGUCAGGGGACAGAGGCACCAGCGUUCCCUUCCUGGUGCUGAAAGAAUUUUCUGCAAAUGUUCUCCUCCUGUUCUCACCUCUUGGCAAUGAAGCCUUGGUUGCUUUGGCCUUGAUCUCCAACAACUCCAAACGUGCUUCUGUGAAAAUAGUGAGAUAUGUUCAAAUUUAAGAGACGCUCCCUUUGUCUUCUCUCCAACUCUGACUGGCACAGUGUCAUGUUAAGACACUUGGGGCUCAUCCAUAUUCUUCCCAGUGGCAGUGCUGGUCUGAAAGCAGACUUCUCCCUGCUCAGCCAGAGAACUUUUCAAAUUUUAAACAUUGUUUUUGCUUUUGAAGCUAUGCGGAGUGCUCAGAAAGAACAGACUUUGACAUUAGAAAGAACUGAAAUCCAGGCAUUUUUCUCUUUACUACCUAUGUGAUUUCUGGCAAGUUCAUCAAUUUCUCUGAGCCUCAGUUUCCUCAUUUAAAAUUGGUAAAAAUACAGUUUACUCUGUAUCCUGGCUGAGAAUUGCUGAUUCGGGCAGGAAUGGUCCACAAAGAACUGGCACAUUGUAGGUGCUCAAAAUAUAAUACAGUCAUUCCUUUCUAUAGUCAACUUAAUAGUGCUCUUGCUCUUGUGGACAGAGCAUCACGGGGUGACAACAUGCUGAUCUGGGAAUUAAAGGUGUGGGUAGGAUGCAGGGCUGCGCUGCCCCUCAGGGUCCAGGACCCAGGAUAAAUCCUUCUCUGGACCUCGCACACAAGGAGCUGUGAUGAACACUCCCCGCCCCCCAUGUUGCCAUGGCAUCGGGACAUGGUGAAAGGGUUGGUGCCUCUAUGACUUUGUGGGCCAUGGGUAAUAGGAGGAAGAAAGAGGGAGUGGUCCUCUGACAGGGAUACUAGGAAGCUGAGAUUUCCAGGUAGGGCUUGACCUGGUGUAGGAGGAAAGGUGCUGCAGUUAAGCUUGGGUCGAACACUUUCCAUGAUGAAGUGUCUGUCAGACUCAGAAAGGCUGUGGUUUUCACUUGGAGGAAAGGGAGGAGACACCCUGCGAUUUCGUGAGUGAACCCCCAUUUCUUGGGACUUGGGUUGGAUAUGUUGUCUUGGGGCUCCUGAAGAGCAUCUCUCCAGGGCCCACUCAGUCUCAGGGUGGGUCUAGGAACUUGUUUUCAGCCCGUGUAUGUAGACUUUGAAUGAGCUGGUACUUCUAUAAAUGGCAUGGACAUUUCCUAACUAGAACUCAGUGUGCAGUUGUGGGGGAUCUCUGGUGUCUGGGGAGAGCCUGCCCUGACCCAACCUCUGGUCAAGUUACUGAGGGACCUUGAAACAGUGAGGUGCCAACUGCACAUUAGUCACCAGAUAUUCCUGGGAUAAAGGAAACAGGUUGGGGAUGAAGAGGAAUGGGCUGGGAGUUUGGGAUGGAAAUGCUGUAAUAUUGGGUUGUGAUGAUUGUUGUACAACUACCAAUGUAAUAAAAUUCAUUCAGUUAAAAAAAAAGAAAGAAAAUAACAGAGCAGCACAUAAUUCGAGGCAAAAUGAAGAUCUUCAAUAUGCAUUCAUCAAUCAGAGGAAUAUAUAUAUUGUCAUCUAUAAAGAAAGUACUUUUUGUUGGUGUAUCAUGGAGACUAAUGGCAGUUCGUAGCCCCCCUCAUAGAAAACCUAAAGUAUGUAUCAAUACUGACAAAAACCCUGAUAGUAUUUUAGAAAAAUAGGUAUAUAGGGGGCCUGUUCACAACUGUGAGAGAGUCUAGUUAAGAUGUAAGCAAAUGGCCAUUGCCCAGGAUGAUUAUGAAAUACAUUGAAUAAAUUGCAUAAAAUUGUAUAAAUUGUAUGAAUAUAUCCAUAAUACCUCAUUAUAUUGAACUCCAUGUGUCCUAUUUAUUAUACAUACCAUAUUUAUGUAUAUAUAGAAUCCAUUAUAUAAUAUAUACAUAUUUAAAUUAUGUUUUAAUGAAUUAUAUAGAAUCUGUUUUAUAUCAUACAUAUGUAUAUAUAAAUUAUAUGUUUAAAUGAAAUAUAUAUAUAUAGUAUAUAACAUACAUUUUAACUUCAUUUUAUGUUCUACAACCUUUCAGUCAAUAUGAGAAUUUGGGAUAUACCAUGAUUAGGAUAUAUACAUAUAUAUAAAAGAUGGUGCAGUGAGAAAAAAUUAUAGUCCUUAUGAGGAUAUUUUUUUAAUUUCUGAAAAGUUGUCAUAGGUCAGUUGGCCUCAAAACUUCACUAAGUGAAGAAAUGGAAGGCCGGAGAGCUUAUGGGAUUUUCCAGAUUAGAGCAAUAACACUUUCAAUCACGUUUCCUUUGAUGGGCGAGAAGCAAGGGGUCAUCUCUUAGAUUCUGGAAACCCUACCCUUCAGCAAAUGACCAAAAAUGCUGGGUAGUGUGCUACUUCUAGAGGAAAUAAAGCCUGAAUCAAAACCACAGAUGAGAUAUCAAAUAGAACAUUUUUUUCAGAGAUGUAUCCAAAUGGUACUGCCAAGAUUUCAUCGCUUAUGACAUUUAAAAGCAGAGUGUAUGGAGCACUAAAAAUACACUGUAGGGAACUAUCCUAGGCUGGCAGAGACAUGUUUGAGAGAGCUUCAAAAGGUCCCUGCUAUUUUUAAUUUCUACUCUAACACUACCUUAGAGUAAGUAAUACCUUUGCAAAGUCUACUAUGUCGAUUGAAGCUGGGGCAAAGCUCCUUGGCCCCAGGAAGCAUCAAACAAGAUUCUAGAAAAUUGCUGGCACGUUCUUUCCAUUGUGAAGCAAACCUCUCUGGUCAAAAGAGGUGGAAAUUUAGAAAUAAUCACCAAUGUGUAGCUUUAUGUCAAACUCUCUCUAGCAAAUUAAUGGGGCCAUAUAAAAUAACUGUUGAAGCUAUGUGCAAGAUUUAAAUGUGUCCUAGAAACCCAGCUUUAAGCUGCACCAUAUGCACUAGGACUACUGUCUUCCAGCAACAGCACAUCCACAGCCCUCUUGCGCUUCCUGCCCACUCAUAAGAUGGCCUUUCCUGUUGCGGAGUCCUGUACCAUAGGCUCCCAUCUCUGUUCUUCUCCACAUGCCCACAAGGAGGCAGUGUGUGGUGUGGAAAAGACCUUAAGCUCUGAGUCAGGACCUUCCCUGGUGUUUGACCUGCAGAUGCCACAUUUUUCUCCAAAUAACAACAGCCUUUUUAUCUGUAAGAUGCAGGUUAUACCUAUUUUUCCAGUGUUGUGAAGGAAAUAAAUUUUUAAAAACUAAUUAAAAAAUUAAUAGGCUCAAAGAAAUGAAUCCCUACUGAUGGCUUUUCACACAGCUCAGGGUUUAAAUGAAGGGGUGAUGGUGCUUCUUGACCAUUGAGGCUAAGAGCCAACUUGACCAGACCCUGCUGUGGGGAGGUUGCAAAUUUCCCUUUUCUGUUCAGCUCUCCAUUCUGGAAAAAUCCAUCCCUGCCCAUGAAUUGUCCCUUAGAACCAUAGUUCUUAAUUCUUUUCCUUAGAGAUAUUUAGCCCUUGCUUUAAAGAUCAAAGUUUCUAAUCUAAUUAGAAAUUUAUUAUUUGACUUCAGGACAUAUUAUCAUGUAACAAGCUGAUGUCUACAGGUAUUUUUAGUUGCCACCAGGUAGACUGCAAGCUGCGAUAAAUGCGUCAUUUCGUUGAGUAUUUUAACACGAUUUUAAACAAAGUAGUUCAAACAUAAUUAAAGAGGGGCCUGUCUAAAUGUGUGUAUGCUUUAGCAAGAGAUAAUUCUCAAGGGAAAACGCAAUCCCUGGAGGGAGCUUUAAAAUCUGAAAGCUUCAGGAAUGGAAACCACAGAUGUACAUUUAAGAGCUAAGUAUAAAAAUGGUCAUUUUAUCCCUAAAGUGAUGGCUAAAUGGAAAUCCACACGGCCAGUUGUAGCUCACUCCAGGGAAUCCAGGUUCACACUCUAAGUGAGGCUGCACACCAGGCUAGUCACAGAAACACAAUGAUUUUAAUUAAAUCAUGAGUCUUCCUGAGGCAGUAUUGCACUCAACUCCAAGCAGAUCAGAAGUGAAAGACAAAUAUCUAUCCCCGUCCUUCGUGAAAUCAUCACACAAGUCAGCUGAUGAUCAGAAGGGAGGCGUUUCAAAUUACAGCAGCACUUUUACAGGGUGGAUAAUUAUGGCAAGUUAUGAAUGACAGAAAUUACUGCAGCUCCAGUUUUCUUUUUUUGUCUUUGCUGGCUGUUUUGCAUCCAUUAUAGUUUCUUUUUAUAGCUUCCUUAGUUAUCUGCAGUUAAUUAACAUCAAUAAAUGACUGAACAUGUUAUAUAGUACUUUGAUUGCAUUUUUCCCCCCAUUUUGUUUCCUUCUUAAGGAAACUGUCACUUCUCAUGUCUUAAGGACCGUCAUUAAAGUUGAGCUUAAGAUUAUGCUUGGCUUAUUUUUUAAACAUAACUUACAAGUUUCACUAUUUGGUUUCAAAUUACAUAUUUUAGGCUUCAUAUUUUUAAAAACACCCAGAGAUGACAUCAAAGUACUACCUGGAUGCUAUAGAAUAGAUACUACAGAAUUAUAUUACCCACUUCAUUUCCACUAGUUUCUUGCAAUUAAAAAAAAAAAAAAAGGAGUUUCCUGGUGGCUCAGUGGGUUAAGAACCUGGUGUUGUCACUGCUGUGGUUCAGGUUGCUGCUGAGGUGUGGUUUCAGUCUCUAGCCUAAGAAGUUUUGUAUUCUGUAGCUUUAGCCAAAAAAAAAAAAAUCAACCCCCCAAAGAACUCCAAAAUUUAUAUAUUAUAGUAUUUCUGUAAGAGAUUUUGCUAGAAUUUAUUGAAAGUUUAUUUUUUUGAUAGGAGCACUGAUUGUUGGCUUUUCUUUAAAAAAAUGCCUGCAAUUUUGACAUGGUUUCUUAAAUAUUUAUGUCAGCUCAGAUUUUUCUUAGCGAGAGGGAUUUUUGUUUGUUUGGCCUAGAUCAUAACCUAAUCAUCUCACAUUUUUCCCCCCAGUUUUAUUGAGAUGUAAAUGACAUAUAAAGUUGUAUAAAUUUAAGGUUUAUAAAUAUUUAUUUGAUAUAUGUAUAUAUCACAAAAUAAGGACCAUAAUAACUAUAGUUUAAAUAACAUAGUCCUAUAUUUUAAUUUGCUCUAAUUUAAAUAAUUUUUAGAAAAUCAUUACAAUCAAUCAAAUGCUACUGAAGGUUAUUUGAUUUUGCAAAAUUCCAAAAAGUGUCAGGUAUUAACUAAUGGUAUGUUCCAGUUCCAUUUCUUAUAAAAUAUUUGAUACUUUUGGCAUUAUUAAUCUACUUGAAUUACUGGAGAAUCCAAAUGCUUUCUGUCAUUCUCUCUCUUUCUGUAGCUCUAUAUUUGCAAGAAUAAUAGGUAAUUAAAUUUAUAGUAUUUUGUGGAAUUCAUACUUAUUUAAAGACGUUACCUGUGUAUUUUGUAAAAUGCCCAAUAGUAACUUCAAAAAUUGAUCCUAUAUUCUUAAAGUAUUCAAAUUAUGUGUACACUAAUUGUAGAAAUACUGGUAAUAAAAACUAUUUGAAGACAAAAUAAGUAUAUUCAGUGGCACAAAGAAGCCUUCCUAUCAAUGGAAUACUAUACAGUUUUAUAUAUUUAAUAUAGAAGAGUCCACAGUUUUAUUUUUAAAUGUAAAAAAAUGCUUCAUAGUUUUAUGGUAGUCUAGUGCUUAUUUGAAAUAUGUAUGGAUAUUAUGUAGGUAUGUGUGGAAAAAUAAGUAAAAUGAUCAGGAGUUCCUGUCAUGGCACAGUGGAAACGAAUCCUACUAGGAACCACGAGGUUGCAGGUUUGAUCCCUGGCCUUGCUCAGUGGGUUAAGGAUCUGGCAUUGCUGUGAGCUGUGGUGUAGGUUGCGGACGUGGCUCAGAUCUGGUGUUGCUGUGGCUGUGGUGUAGGCCAGCGGCUACAGCUCCGAUUAGACCCCUAACCUGGGAACCUCCAU